rnacentral:rRNA from 1 species
UACGGGGGGAGCAAGCGUUGUUCGGAUUUACUGGGCGUAAAGGGCGCGUAGGCGGCGCAACAAGUCACUUGUGAAAUCUCCGGGCUUAACCCGGAGCGGCCAAGUGAUACUGUCGUGCUAGAGUGCGGAAGGGGCUACUGGAAUUCUCGGUGUAGCGGUGAAAUGCGUAGAUAUCGGGAGGAACACCAGUGGCGCAAGCGGCCGCCUGGCACUGACCUGACACUGAGCCACGACGGCGUGGGGAGCAAACGGG